UACGGAGGGUGCGAGCGUUGUCCGGAAUCACUGGGCGUAAAGCGCACGUAGGCGGAUCUUUAAGUCAGGGGUGAAAUCCUGGAGCUCAACUCCAGAACUGCCUCUGAUACUGGGGAUCUUGAGUCCGGAAGAGGUAAGUGGAACUGCGAGUGUAGAGGUGAAAUUCGUAGAUAUUCGCAAGAACACCAGUGGCGAAGGCGGCUUACUGGUCCGGUACUGACGCUGAGGUGCGAAAGCGUGGGGAGCAAACAGG
rnacentral:rRNA from 1 species